rnacentral:rRNA from 1 species
GCUUAUGGCCACACCGCCUGGUUCACGGCUGAUCUCGUUUGAUCUCGGAAGCUAAGAUAGGUUAGGCCUGGUUAGUACUUGGAUGGGAGACCGCCUGGGAAUACCAGGUACUGUAAUUU